AGAAGCUGAGACCAGUGGUGGGUUGCCCCCGGUUCGGAUCGGUUCGCAAGAACUGGUAGUAAAACCGGCGGGUGGCUCCGCCCACUGACCUGGACGUCAUCAUAGGUGAUCUGCGCAUGUGCAGAAGCUUCUGCGCAUGUGCAGAAGAGCGCACGAGGGCGCAGAAGAAUGGGCGUGGGUGCGAUGCAAACUGGUAGUAAAGAUAAAGUCUUAAGAGUUGAACAGGAAUGAAGUGAUGGUGCAUCAGAGCAGGAUUAACAGAAGAAGAUAAAGGAAUAUGUUUCCUCCCUUGGCUUCAGAGGCAUCCGUCUGGGCUAAAGUGUACCUUGCUGAUCAAGACAAAAUCAAGGAAAUGGACUAAAGAAUGUUGAG